ACCUGGGUGGCUCAGUGGUUGAGCAUCUGCCUUCCACUCAGGCUGUGAUCUUGGGGUCCCAGGUUCGAGUCCUGCAUCAGGCU
rnacentral:tRNA from 1 species